rnacentral:misc_RNA from 1 species
UUUCCGUAGGUGAACCUGCGGAAGGAUCAUUAUUGUAUAACCGAGGUGCGAGGGCUGUCGCUGACCCGAAAGGUCGUGCACGCCCGAGUGCCCUCACACACGUCCAUCUCACCCCUAUGUGCACCACCGCGUGGGUCCCCCUUUGGCUGUUUCGGGGGGGGCCUUCGUUUUUACACCAACCUUUUUAUGAGGGGUGAAUUGAUUUUUUGUUUUUUCCGAUACCGAAUUCAAUCAAACUUUCAAAAACGGUUCUCUUGCCUCUCGCAUCGAUGAAUAACG